rnacentral:rRNA from 1 species
GAGGCUGGUGGCACACGGGCUUCUGCGGGCACCACCAUGCCAGCUGUGGCUGAGGAGGCGUUGUUGCUGGAGGGUUACUUUCCCGCCCAA